CUUUAUUCACCACAGCAGAAGACACCCUGGUGAAUGUGAAAUGUAAAUAAAGUGACAAUACUUUUAAAGAAAAACUAACCCUCAUUAACAACAGAAUUUAUGCAGAAAAGGACCUGUACAAAUGAAAACAAUGUAUCAAAGCUUUUAAUAAGAAAUCAAUUCUUUUUCAUCACUCAGCUAUUUAUUCUAGAAAGAACACAUAAAUAUAGAGAAUGUAGAAACUUUUUAAAUUAUAUAUCAUGCAUUACUAGACAUCAGAGAAAACACAUUGGAGAGAAGCCUUACAAAUGAGACCAUCAUACCAUUCCUCUAAGAAAGAGUCAAAAUCUAAUACUCACCACAAUAAUCAUAGAAGAGACAAAGUUUUGAAAUGUGAAAAUUGACAAUGUGACAAUGCCUCCAAAAUUCAUUCACCAAUACUCAGCAUUCAAUACUGGUUAAAGAAAAUACAAAUGGAAAAAAAUACAUGUCAUAACUAAAUGUUUCUUAAACACUACUGAUUUUUGGAGAAUUCAUUAUGCCCAGAAACCCUAAAAAGUUAAAUAAUAUUUUGAAAACUUAUUUAAAUUUUAAAUUUAUUGAACAUCAGAAAACUCAUACCAGUAGUGAACAUUGAACAGAUUUUGUCCAAAAUGUAUGCCUUAUAUAAAAAUGAAUAAUUUAUAAUAAACACUUUGACAAAUGUGAGAGUAUAGUAAAGUCAUUAUGUAUACAUUGCACCUUGAUGUAUAUGAGGAUCAGUAAAAGACAUUACUCAUUUAAAUAUAGAAAAUAAGUAGUUGUCUUUAACUUUUGUUUAAAAUUUUUAAGCAUUAUCAAGUUCUUUGGUAGAAAUAUCAGUCAUAAAUAUCAUACAUGCAUAGUGCAGAAACCUCAUCUUUAAAAGCAUGUAAUUUUUGUUUUCUAAAUCAAAAAUUACUAUUUUCAUUUUUGAAUACUGAAGAAAAGAAUUAUAUGAAAUCUAAUUUUUUUAUGAUUAACACUGAAUUGUAACAUUUCAAACUGUAUUUUUUUUUUUUGUAUUUCAGUUUAUAUUUAGGGAUUUUUAAACACUGAGCCACAUUCCUAAGCCCUCUCUCUACUUUUUCAAAUUUUGAGACUGUUUUGCUAAGUUGCUUGAAACCACACUAAGUUGCUGAGGCUGAAUUUUGAUCUAGUCAGUUGAGAUCAUUUCUGAUUAAUGGGUAUCAUCAAAAUGUAGCCAUGUAUUUAAAUUUCCUCUAUGAUCAGUAGCAAUUCUUCCCAUUAAAAAUCAAAGCAUUCUCAUAGAGUCUUUGCUAUAUUUUAAGGAGCUUUUGCUUUACUAAACAGAAUCAAUUCCACAUAGUUGAGUCCCAAUGUAAAUGGCAAUACAUUUACCUAAGCACCGUGAGGAAUAUAAGAAAUACAAGAUAUCACCUUUGAAAAAUAAAAAAAAAAGUAAGAAUCAUAAAUGCUAAGCUAUUAUCAUCUAAACUAUACCAGGGCUUUUAAAAUGUAGCCUUAGAUGUUCUACUCACUCUCAUAGUAAGAGACCAUAGACUCAAAGUCAUUUUAUUUUGUUUUUUUUUAGUCUGUUUUAUAAUGCUAUAGAAAAAUAUCAGAAAUAGACCAAUAUAUAAAAAGAGAUAUAAAUGCAUAAAAUUAUUUUCUGAGGGGCUAGAGUUUUUGCUCCAUGGUAGAGUGGUCACCUAGCACAUGCAAGGAGCUGGGUUCAAUCCUCAGCACCACAUAAAAAUACAUAAAUAAAUAAAAUAAAUUUAUUUUUUCCAACUACAACUAAUAAAUAAAUAAAUAUAUAAAUUAAUUAAUUUAAAAAAUAUUUUUUGAGUACAUAGUUCUGAAGACUUAAGUGCAUUGUACCAGAAUCUUCUCAGUUCCAGUGAAAGCCCAUUCACCUGCAUUACACAUGAGAUGGCAUUAUGGUGAAAGCUCAUUUGAGAGGUAUAGAGAACAUAAAAAGAAAGAAGUUAGAGAAAUCCAGUAAGAAGAUUUGCUCUUUUUUAUUAAUCUGCUUUAAUAGGAACUAUCUUGUGUCCCAUUAAAAUUUUAUUAACCCUUUCCAAGGGCAUCUCCCCCAAUGAUCUAACCACAAUCUACUAGAUCUCACUUCUUAACCAUUCUACUAUUUCCCAACUCUCUCCCUUUGGAAAGUAAGUUCCCAACACAUGAACAUUUGGGAAACAUACUCAAUUAAUAAUGGAAGUAAUAUGAGAAAGACAAUGGUAAAAUGAGAUAUAGAAUGUCAUUUGUUAGUACUUAUAAAGAUUCUAGAUACUACAAUAAAAUGAUUUAGAAUAUAGAAAUUAUUUUAGGGGGAGAUUUUAUUUUAAGGACAAUAGGGAAUUUAAUUACACUAAUUAAUGAAGACUGAAUAAAUUUGAAUGUGACAAGACUAAUGGGAUAGGUAUAUUAAAAGAAGGUAAAAGUCUGUGCAAAAACUCAAUGUAUGUAUAAUAUACCAUGCGUAGGUUUAUAAAGAGAAUGGUGGGCUUUCUGAAUAUGCUAUAUCAAGUCAAAAGUGUACUGGAUAAAAUCUGGUGGCCCUCAAAAUGAGAGCAAAUAUUCAUAUGAAAGAUGCAGUGAACAUCAGUCUCAAGAGCUUCCUACUUAAAAAAUCUGCUUCCAAAGACUACAUGAUUUUUAUUAAUUCUUGUGAGUAUUAUCUUUCAAUUUCAAUUUUUAGCUUUCUUUAUAGUUGCUGCACCAUCUCUUGAGCAGAUCAAUAUUUUCUUGAACUUCUUCAUAUAUUAAUAUAUACACUAUCUCACAUAUGUUUGUUUCUAGAUUGUCAUGGAUCACUCCUAGUGAAUUCUGAGAUAUAUGAGAGGUUUAACAAGCAUAGAAAUUUGCUUUUAAAAAAUAAGCCAUGAUGUAGGUGGGAAGUAAAAUAGAAAAGAAUCAAAAGUCCUCAUCUAAACUUGUAUAUGCUGAUACUACACAAGGUUAUUCCAACGAUGUCUGGUUUUGGGUAGGGAAGCAACUUUUCUUAUACACUAUGACACAAAGUUCAUCAAAUAUGGUUGUUAUAUACUUUUUGAGAACACCCAAAUUUAUUUUAGUAAUUUCUACAUUGAAAACCUACUGUUACUUUUAAAUAAAACUAUUCAUUGCAAUAAAUCUGAAAUAGUUCUUUAAAAUUGCAGAACAGAAAAUUGGUGGCAUUAUUCACGGAAUGCCAAUAUUUUCCAAUAACACUUAUAGGGGUAAUUUAAAAAAUGGAUAGAUAAUUAAAGAAAAUAGUGAAAUGAGACCCAGAAACAACUAAUUAUAGUAAAAAUUAUUAUUACCUUAUUUCAAAUACUAGUGUACCCUUCUGCUUUUUUUCCCCAAAGUUAAUUUUUUUAACCUUUUGGUAUGAUAUUUCAUUCACUUAUAUAACAUGAUAAAUAGUAUGUUUUUUUUUUCAUAUGCACUCUCUGAUGCAUCCCAAAUAUAUUUGCAUACCCCAAGACCUUAGCAGAUUUCUAUACACAUUGUUUACUAGAGAAACAGUAGUUACUUCUGAAGUCUAAAUUACCCUUUUCAAAUGAGGUCUUGCAGUUUUUUUUGAAAUAUCUGAAAUAAUUAGGAUAAACUAAGUUUUAAUUAGUGUAUAGUAAAUUCCUGAUAAAUAUUUCUGGGAAGGAUGAAGAAAUAAUAAGAGCAUUUAUAUAAUUUGUAAAUUAUGUUAUGUGGUUUUUCAUGUUUUUAGCUACAACUUAUUGAAUAUUAUAACAAUCUUACUAUGUGGGUAAAAUGUGGGUAUGAUAAACCAAUAAUAAAUAAAAAUUGCAUGCUGCAUUGUUAGAAAUUCACCAAGCAAUUUUUUUUUAAAAACAGACACUCUGAUGUGUGGUUUUUUAUCAACUAUUAUAUUAUGAAUUAAAGAAGUUCAGUAAAUGAAUAAUUGGAACACUACAUACUUGCUUAGGGUGC
rnacentral:lncRNA from 1 species